rnacentral:lncRNA from 1 species
UCCCUGACCUAAUAAAUGACUUAAGUUUUAAAAGCACACAUGUCUCCUUGGUUAAGUGGUAUUAAGCAGUAAUACCCGGUGGCAGCGAAGAAAGAAGAAGGGCGAGAACCUUGUGAAGGCCUGGGGGAAAUAAGGGCUUCAGGGGGGAUCGCCACGGGCGAGAACCUCGUGAAGGCCUGAGGGAAAUAGGGGCUUCAGGGGAGAUCGCCACACUCAUCACAUGCCAAGCCGGGCUUCAUAAAGUUGCUUUCUUUGACUGUAGUUCCCACAAUUCUCCUAACCAGCCUAGCCAUAGGUCAGAAUCCUCCGAUGUCAGAAUGAGGUCACAAUCUGGUCUGUAUCCAGUUCAACAUGUUUGAAUACAAAGGUAUUGAAACCAAGCUUGUAAAAGUUGAACAUCUAGAACCUAGAUGGAUGAAUCUGUCCUUUUACAUGUCUUCCACACUUCUUUUUCUUUUUUAUUUAUUUCUUUAAGAUUUGUCUUGUCAGGUUUCUUUUCAAAGCAAAGGACUUAUAAAGCACAUUUUCGUCCCAGCCCGAAUAGGAAGACAUUUAAACCGGAACAUUCUUUAUCUGUCAUUCCGAUGCAGCCAUUUUUGUCCCUUUACAGAGUCCCUGAAUAAUUACAAGCAGAAGCCUAGAAAAGACGUUUUGCACACAAGAUUGAGUCUUUGGCUUACUUCUCAGUAAGACUAGGAAACAUUCUCCUGAUCGGACUAAGAAGCAACAAACUGAAAUACAUUGUUAAGACGUAUAUUGGUGUUUUCUUCCUUUCCCGGUUCAAACCGAAUAACGCACAGGUAGGAAAGCUUCACUGUAGUAAGUCAUCAAUAGAUUUCUAUGCAAUUAGGUUUCAUCUUCCAUUCUUCAAACAAACCUAAAUAUACCUCCAGUUGCACAUUUACUCUGUCAUUGACAUGUCUAUGUGCUCCCUAUGAGAUAACUAGUUUAGCCUGCUUGGUGAAGGAUCCUAAGGAAAGGGACUGCUCUUUUGGUUUGGGUUUAGAAAAAGAAUUUGCUCUCUCUCUCUCUCUCUCUCUCUC